UGAUAAUUGGUUGAAAAUCAUUAAAACAACAUAUUUUACAUUGAGAUGGAAAAAUAUACUAAUUGUUUACAACAUUCUCCUCAUGUAAAAAUGCAAUUGUAAUUUGGAGAUCUUCCACUCCAGCAUUUGGAGUGCUGGAUAUGAAUAUGGUGAAACUAUGCCUGGAUACCUGUUACUAAUAAAUAACUGAUUCUGUCAUCCAUGUCUCCAAGGCUAUUGCCCAAUUCUGGGUCACUUGGGAAUGCAUCAGACUACAGCUGAGCAAGAAAAGUUUACUAUUGUGCUACUUUCCUGGAAGUAGCCACAGAAAUGAGGCUACAUUUUUUUAGUCACAUGACCUCCAAAUGAAUGAAAACAAUGGCUAGUCCUGGAUUGGUCAUCUUUAACUUUGAUGAGAUGCUGAAAAUGAAAGCCAGGACUGAGGGAAGAUUGAAGGAGUCUGAACCUCUGACAACAUGGAGUACCAUACCAACCCUGGACUAUCUACCUCCAGACUUUUACAUGAGUAAGAAACACCUAGUUUGUUCAAAACAGUAUUAAUUUGGAUCUUUGUUACUUGCAGUUAAACCUAAUCCUGAAAUACCUG
rnacentral:lncRNA from 1 species